AGAGGAAGAGAAGAAGAAGAAGAAGAAAAAAGAAAAAAAAAAAGAAAAAAAGUGGGGGGGGGGGGAGGGGGGGUGCUGACCUGAGGUUCUCUCUCUCUCCCAUCAUUCCUAUUCAAUAAUAUAUUUGGUUAAAUCUAGUUGUGUCCGGGAAGCAGCAGCGGAGGACAGGAGAAUUAUCGUAUCUACGUGCAAUACGUAAAGGCCAUGGAUGUGGUGCCCUGCUGCCAGCUCAAACUCGGGGAGAAACAGAUGAAUAAUAGACUCUGAUAGAUUUUGCCUGCUCUCUACAUGGACACUCCUCUGCAGCCGAAAGGGCUUGUGGUCCUUCAGCUCCAAGGUAAAACAUGGACCGAUGGAAGCCACGGACAAGACUUCCAAACUUUCCAAACAAUUGCGCUUUUUUCUGUGCUAGCAUAAAGCUGGUAGGACAGCAUCCAUCAUGGUCCCACACGUACGUGAAGCUCAACUUUCCUUGGUAGAUCUAUAUGGGAAGGAAAAUUCUUGCUCACGUCCAAAGGCAGUAGCAUUUCUAUUUAUGUCAAUUUGACUGCAGUUUUUUUGACUGCUAAUGUGCUGGUAUGGUUGGUUUUGGUCCACAAUAUAUCUGAUUGGUAUGCGCUUGGCAGCU